rfam:Beta vulgaris subsp. vulgaris Bvchr7.sca021.con0445.1, whole genome shotgun sequence.
GACUCCGAUGAUGAUGAAAAGUUUCUGAGAUCUUCUUUGCGGAAAACAUUUUGGAGACCUGAACUGAGGAGAA